AUCGCAUAAAUUCCAAGUCUUUGGUAAUAUUUAAAUUGGAUUAUUCGUGCUUCUCUCCAAGAUGGCCUAAACUGGUUUUCCCCAACUACAAUCUCCCAAGGAAAGCAUUGUUGAAGAUCUUGAGAUUAAGUAUACCCCCAAUCAUUUUGUUCUAAAAGUCUACGCAGUCGCACCCAAUUUACCAAUCAACAUUUGGGCCUAUCGAUAUCUGAUAUCUAUGUCUAACCUAUGUGGGAAGUUUAAAAGUAGACAUCCAAAAAGUUGGAAUGUAGGUUAGAAUGGAGUUAAUUAGAAUAAAUAUGGCACCAAAAAAGUUGGAAUCGAAAGAAAGAGCUACUACUAGCAAAAAUAAUUAUAAUUAUUCAAAAAUAUUGGUGUUUGCAAAAGACCUUUGGUCUAGCAGCACUGACUUCACCGUGUAAGGUAUCACAUGCAGGAAGCUCAAUGCACGGGAUGUAAACAUGUCGACUGGGAUGGUACCUAUCAUGCCUCGAACUUGAGACUUAGUAAAAUUUUGAAUUUAUUAGAUUUGUAUCCUUAGAGAUAUGCUCCUUUUAAUAGGUCUAUCUCAGAUGUUUCUGUUGUGCAGGACAUAAAGAGUGAAUGGAGAGUUCGGGGUGUGACCAUACCAUAGGGUAGGUACCCUAUGCAAAAUUGAGACUUAAGCUCCUGUCGCACAGGGUGAGGAGACCUGAUAUCUUAAUGCUUGUGUAUACUCCUUGAAUAGGAUAGUCCAAUGUCUAUCACUUGUCCACCUAUUAAAAAAAUAAUAAUAAUAUUGGGGUUUUCCGCAAAAACUACUUGAACUUUAGCACCCUCAUAGUAAUUUAAAUUAAGUAUAGGGUGUUGUCGCAAAAGUGCCACGGAUUGUGAUUUUCACAGAAACACCCUCAAAGACAUAACUAUUAUUAUCCAAGACUAUUGGAGUUUCCUUCAAAAACGUCUCGGGCCGGGUUAAUUGGUAAUUUUGGAGGAACACCCUAAAAAAUAUAAAUAUUACUAUUCAAAACUAUUGCAAUUAUGUGGUUAGCUGGUCCAUCAAAAUCGAACACCCAAUUAUUAUCCAUCAAAGGACACAAAACUUCUUGUUUUUAUCCGCACUUGUUUUUACUCUGUUCCCUGAUAUUUUUUUCUUAUUCUCUUGAAUGCAUAAGCGCCUCUCUUUAGUCUUCAUGAUUUCACCCUGACAUUGACUUGUCAACGGCUCCAUAUGAGGUGGAGCCCAACCCAACGUUAUAUAACCACAGAUACUAGGCUCAUGCAUGAUCACCUUCAAUUACACCGCCACCGCCACCGGCAUAUCAUAUCAUCACCAUUAAUUAUCCAGAGAUGGAAAUGUAGCUGCAUCAUCAUUGGAGAAGAAUACUGUAAGCCGGAGCUGGUGGAAUUGGCUUUCAGUACAACAAUCAACGGAGUGAAGAACAAAGAGCUUGCAAUCACUGGCCUUGAUGGCAAAGAUGUCUUCUGGGUUUCUAGUGAUGUGGUUAUCAAGAAGUGGUUCAUAUUGUUAGUGAUAAAUGUGAGCUGAGUCACUUCAAUACUUGGCAUCUCAACGACAAAGCUCUAAAGAAAGUGGCUGAGUGCGAUGAUGUAGCUGCAAGAGCUAUACUUGUUAGCUCGGCUUGAAACAAGAGAGGAAGUCAACCUGUAUACAGUGUCUAUGUAUGUGAAUGAAGAAAAAAAGGAACGUCUCAACUGUUCUGGUUAUCUUAGCUUUUUAAAGUUUGUCUGAUUGCCUUUGUUAUGUGUGCAAUUUUUGUUAUAAAUAUCUAUGUAGUCUUUUUUUUUUGACAGGAGGAACAGACAGUCCGAAGGCCUUGCUAAAUCGUCAGGAGCGUGCACAAAUUUUGAUAGAGCAAAUGGGGCCGGGCCCGUGCACAUAUGAGCGCUGAGACCACCGCAUACAACCACCGCUUACAUCUCCCAGAAUUGUGCCCUCAACCGAGAAUCGAACUCUCACCACUCGAUGAAGAGCUUUAUCAGCGACUUGUAUACCAAUAGACCAUUUAGUCUUUGUAAUAGCAAGUAAAGCAAGUUGAAGUCGAAUUAAGUUCUUACAUCAUUUGCUUUUCACUCUACUCUCUGAUUGCUCUUCUCACUUAAAAUACCAACCUAAAAACCUCAAUACAUAUUAGAUGCAGCCACUGGGCUCCCCCUUCUUUCCAUUAUGAAAAAGUCAUGGAGCCUUCAUAACCGUUGGCAAGCAUUCCAAGGAGAGGACACGGAUGAAAAGAAUCACUUAUUUAUAGUCAAAAAAAGUUCAAAUCUCAAAAUUCAUAAAGAGUGAGACGUGUUUCUUGCUGCCAACACUGAGGAAGUAGAAUGGGAUUUCAAGAUCAUAUAUAGGAGAAAUCAGCUAGAGAUCAAUCAUAGUGUUUCAUAAGCAAAAUCCAACUACUGCAAUAGCUGAGUAAAUGUGUGUAGAUGAGCCAGGAUCAGAAGGUGGUGAAGGUGAGACUAGAUAAGGAUGCAUUAAGGGUGACUAUCAGUCCAAAGAUUCCAAACAUAGACUCUGUCUUCAUUACCUCAUUGAUUAGUAUGCUUCAUCAAGUCCAACAAAAACGAGAUGCGCACAAAAAAUUGUUGGGUAUGUGGAGCCUGAUUGUGUGACACCCCAGGAGGUGCGAGAGAGCAUCGGUUUAGGUUGGAGGUGCGGGGAGAACGCCCCGCAGUAGGAUACAAGGGUAAUUUGUAUAUGGUUAGGAUUAUAGUUUGAUAAUCUUGUAAAUUGUACCCAGAUAGGAUUUAUAUCCAGAUAGGUUUAGGAUCUGGAUAAGUUUACGAUCCAGAUAGGGUUAGGAUCCAGAUAUGAUUUACCCUCUUCCAGAUAUGCCUCAGAGUUCUAAUCCUGAUGCCUCAAAGCUCUAAUCCAGAUAUACCUCAGAUUUCUUCUAUAUAUAGGCAGUCCCUUGUAAGAUGUAUGUGUGCUUCAGAUAUUGAAAUAAAACCCUAGUGUGAC